GUCGAGCGGACGACGGGAGCUUGCUCCCUUAGUCAGCGGCGGACGGGUGAGUAACACGUGGGUAACCUGCCUGUAAGACUGGGAUAACUCCGGGAAACCGGGGCUAAUACCGGAUGCUUGAUUGAACCGCAUGGUUCAAUCAUGAAAGGCGGCUUCGGCUGCCGUUUACAGAUGGACCCGCGGCGCAUUAGCUAGUUGGUGAGGUAACGGCUCACCAAGGCGACGAUGCGUAGCCGACCUGAGAGGGUGAUCGGCCACACUGGGACUGAGACACGGCCCAGACUCCUACGGGAGGCAGCAGUAGGGAAUCUUCCGCAAUGGACGAAAGUCUGACGGAGCAACGCCGCGUGAGUGAUGAAGGUUUUCGGAUCGUAAAGCUCUGUUGUUAGGGAAGAACAAGUACCGUUCGAAUAGGGCGGUACCUUGACGGUACCUAACCAGAAAGCCACGGCUAACUACGUGCCAGCAGCCGCGGUAAUACGUACGUGGCAAGCGUUGUCCGGAAUUAUUGGGCGUAAAGCGCGCGCAGGCGGUUUCUUAAGUCUGAUGUGAAAGCCCCGCGGCUCAACCGGGGAGGGUCAUUGGAAAACUGGGGAACUUGAGUGCAGAAGAGGAGAGU
rnacentral:rRNA from 1 species